GAUGAACGCUGGCGGCGUGCCUAAUACAUGCAAGUCGAGCGAACGGACGAGAAGCUUGCUUCUCUGAUGUUAGCGGCGGACGGGUGAGUAACACGUGGAUAACCUACCUAUAAGACUGGGAUAACUUCGGGAAACCGGAGCUAAUACCGGAUAAUAUUUUGAACCGCAUGGUUCAAAAGUGAAAGACGGUCUUGCUGUCACUUAUAGAUGGAUCCGCGCUGCAUUAGCUAGUUGGUAAGGUAACGGCUUACCAAGGCAACGAUGCAUAGCCGACCUGAGAGGGUGAUCGGCCACACUGGAACUGAGACACGGUCCAGACUCCUACGGGAGGCAGCAGUAGGGAAUCUUCCGCAAUGGGCGAAAGCCUGACGGAGCAACGCCGCGUGAGUGAUGAAGGUCUUCGGAUCGUAAAACUCUGUUAUUAGGGAAGAACAUAUGUGUAAGUAACUGUGCACAUCUUGACGGUACCUAAUCAGAAAGCCACGGCUAACUACGUGCCAGCAGCCGCGGUAAUACGUAGGUGGCAAGCGUUAUCCGGAAUUAUUGGGCGUAAAGCGCGCGUAGGCGGUUUUUUAAGUCUGAUGUGAAAGCCCACGGCUCAACCGUGGAGGGUCAUUGGAAACUGGAAAACUUGAGUGCAGAAGAGGAAAGUGGAAUUCCAUGUGUAGCGGUGAAAUGCGCAGAGAUAUGGAGGAACACCAGUGGCGAAGGCGACUUUCUGGUCUGUAACUGACGCUGAUGUGCGAAAGCGUGGGGAUCAAACAGGAUUAGAUACCCUGGUAGUCCACGCCGUAAACGAUGAGUGCUAAGUGUUAGGGGGUUUCCGCCCCUUAGUGCUGCAGCUAACGCAUUAAGCACUCCGCCUGGGGAGUACGACCGCAAGGUUGAAACUCAAAGGAAUCGACGGGGACCCGCACAAGCGGUGGAGCAUGUGGUUUAAUUCGAAGCAACGCGAAGAACCUUACCAAAUCUUGACAUCCUUUGACAACUCUAGAGAUAGAGCCUUCCCCUUCGGGGGACAAAGUGACAGGUGGUGCAUGGUUGUCGUCAGCUCGUGUCGUGAGAUGUUGGGUUAAGUCCCGCAACGAGCGCAACCCUUAAGCUUAGUUGCCAUCAUUAAGUUGGGCACUCUAAGUUGACUGCCGGUGACAAACCGGAGGAAGGUGGGGAUGACGUCAAAUCAUCAUGCCCCUUAUGAUUUGGGCUACACACGUGCUACAAUGGACAAUACAAAGGGCAGCGAAACCGCGAGGUCAAGCAAAUCCCAUAAAGUUGUUCUCAGUUCGGAUUGUAGUCUGCAACUCGACUACAUGAAGCUGGAAUCGCUAGUAAUCGUAGAUCAGCAUGCUACGGUGAAUACGUUCCCGGGUCU
rnacentral:rRNA from 1 species